AAUGAACUUAGGCUUACGGUGGAGACCUAGGCACCCAGAGACGAAGAAGGGCGCAGAUACCGGCGAAACGCUCCGGGGAGUUGGCAACAAACUUUGAUCCGGAGAUCCCCGAAUAGGGCAACCUGUACAACUUCCAACAGAAUUCAUAAGUUGGAAAGAGGCAACCCAGUGAAUUGAAACAUCUUAGUAGCUGGAGGAAAAGAAAGCAAACGCGAUUCCCGUAGUAGCGGCGAGCGAACCGGGAACAGCCUAAACCCAUUUCCAUUAGGGAAUGGGGGUAGUGGGAAGACAUUAUAAAAAAUAGAAAAUAAGAGAAAUUUCUAAUCAGCGAAGCUGUUAAAAAUUUCUUCUCUUUAAAAAUUUUCUAAAAACGAAACAGCUGAAUCCUGUACCAUAGAUGGUGAAAGUCCAGUAGUUGAAAUGAAAAAAAACAAAAUGUCUUAUCCCGAGUAGCAUGGGACACGUGGAAUCCCGUGUGAAUCAGCGAGGACCACCUCGUAAGGCUAAAUACUCCUGGGUGACCGAUAGUGAAAUAGUACUGCGAAGGAAAGGUGAAAAGAACCCUCGUAUAGGGAGUGAAAUAGAACAUGAAACCGUAAGCUGACAAGCAGUGGGAGGUUAAGAGCUGACCGCGUGCCUGUUGAAGAAUGAGCCGGCGACUUAGAGGGAGUGGCAAAAAGGUUAAGGAGAAACAUCCGGAGCCAACGCGAAAGCGAGUCCGAAAAUUCGGCGAAGAAUUUGUCAUUUCCUCUGGACCCGAACCCGGGUGAUCUAAUCAUGACCAACAUGAAGCUUGGGUAACACUAAGUGGAGGUGUGCACCGACCGAUGUUGAAAAAUCGGCGGAUGAGUUGUGAUUAUGCGCAGAAAUUGCAAUCGAACUCGGAGCUAGCUGGAUCUCCCCGAAAUGCGUUGAGGCGCAGCGGCAACGACGAGCUAUCAUAAGGUAAAGCUACUGUUUCGAUGCGGGCUGCGAGAGCGGUACCAAAUCGUGGCAAACUCAGAAUGUAUGAUAUUGCCUACCGUUAGCCAGUGAGACCCAAGGUGAUAAGAUCUUCGGUCAAGAGGGAAACAGCCCAGAUCACCAGCUAAGGCCCCUAAAUGGUUUCUAAGUGGAAAAGGAUGUGAGAGUGCAGAAACAACCAGGAGGUUUGCUUAGAAGCAGCAAUUUCCUUGAAAGAGUGCGUAAUAGCUCACUGGUAAAGCGUUCUUGCGCCGAUAAUGGCCGGGACUAAGAAACCUGCCGAAGCUGUGAGAUUCUUAUAUAAGAAUCGGUAGGGGAGCGUUCCGUUAUUGGGUGAAGUUAUGGUGUAAACCAGAAUGGACAAAACGGAAGUGAGAAUGUCGGCUUGAGUAACGAAAACAUUGGUGAGAAUCCAAUGCCCCGAAAACCGUUGGGUUCCUCCACUAGGUUCGUCCAUGGGGGGUUAGUCAGGUCCUAAGGCUAGGCCGAAAGGCGUCGUCGAUGGCAAACAGGUUAAUAUUCCUGUACUGAUUCUAUUGGGAACAAGGGACGAAGAAGGCUAAACUGAGACUACUAAUGGAUUAUAGUGGAAGCGUCAAGGUGUUGAGAGUUAGAAGAAAAACUAAACUUGAGCUGAGGCGUUAUCCCGAUAACAAUCCUUCGGGGUUGUUGUCGUCAGUGAUGUCAUGCUUCCAAGAAAAGCUUGAGCUCCAUAACAAUAGAAUUACCUGUACCUAAAACCGACACAGGUAGGUGAGUAGAGAAUACUAAGGGGCGCGAGAGAACUCUCUCUAAGGAACUCGGCAAACUGGCCCCGUAACUUCGGAAGAAGGGGCGCCUUUAAUUUCAUUAAAGGUCGCAGUAAACAGGCCCAGGCAACUGUUUAUCAAAAACAUAGGUCUCCGCAAAGUCGAAAGACUAUAUAUGGGGGCUGACGCCUGCCCAGUGCCGGAAGGUUAAGGAAGUUGGUUAGAGAGCUUGUCUCUCGAAGCUGACGACCGAAGCCCCGGUGAACGGCGGCCGUAACUAUAACGGUCCUAAGGUAGCGAAAUUCAUUGUCGAGUAAGUUUCGACCUGCACGAAAGGUGUAAUGAUCUGGGCGCUGUCUCGGAGAGAGACUCGGUGAAAUAGACAUGUCCGUGAAGAUGCGGACUACCAAUACUAGGACAGAAAGACCCUAUGAAGCUUGACUGUAUCCUGGAAUUGAACUCGGGCUUUUCUUGCGCAGCCUAGGUGGGAGGCGUUGAAGGUCCCCUUCCGGGGGGGCUGGAGCCAUCAUUGAGAGACCACUCUGGAAGAGCUAGAGUUCUAAUGGUGAUCUUUGAAACAAGACACUUGACAGUUUCAGGUGGGCAGUUUUCCUGGGGCGGGAACCUCCCAAAGCGUAACGGAGGUGUGCAAAGGUUCUCUCAGUCUGGACGGAAAUCAGACAUUGAGUGUAAAGGCAAAAGAGAGCUUGACUGUAAGACCAACAAGUCGAGCAGGGGCGAAAGCCGGCCUUAGUGAUCCGACGGUGCCGUGUGGAAGGGCCGUCGCUCAACGGACAAAAGUUACUCUAGGGAUAACAGGCUGAUCUUCCCCAAGAGUUCAUAUCGACGGGAAGGUUUGGCACCUCGAUGUCGGCUCAUCACAUCCUGGAGCGGUAGUACGUUCCAAGGGUUGGGCUGUUCGCCCAUUAAAGUGGUACGUGAGCUGGGUUCAGAACGUCGUGA
rnacentral:rRNA from 1 species